AAUUUGAAAUAAUAAUUUCUAAUAGGUUUCGGUUGGGUGAAGUCACUGAUUUCCAAAAAGCAAAGUGUUAGGAGCAGAGGUUUUAUGUAUCUUAAAGAUUUUAAUUAGAAAAUUCUAGCUUUUAAUGCUUCAAGUGAAAUGUGUUAGAUCAAUUAAAUAUUUAAUUUCGUUCGAAAAAGUGUUUUUUCAAAAAGAAAAGUGCACAUUUGAAAAAAAGAAACAGCAAUCAACAAUAUAUAAAAACCAAAUAGCAGACAAAUUAGCAGUUAUGCCGCUUAAAGCUUUUGCUAGAAGAAGCAAAGCCGUACAAUUGUUAUGGACUUAUGCUCACCCAACUGAGAACAUCUUUUGCAACAAAUAAGUCAACAAAUUGAAGUUCUGGAAUUUAAGAAUAAAAUCAGAACGCAAUAAAUAAGUUAUGGAAUUGCUCAGAAUGGACCAAAAUAAAACUUCAUUUUAGAGUAUAGCUGUGCCCGUUGUAUUGUACAUACAUAUAUAAAAAAAAUGUCCAAUUUAAAAUAAUAUUUUUUUUUAUUAGGGAACGUUUGUUAUAUCGUUUAUUAUUGCAAUAAAGUAUUAUUUUGGAAUUAUGUACCAUAA